AGAGUUUGAUCAUGGCUCAGGACGAACGCUAGCUACAGGCUUAACACAUGCAAGUCGAGGGGCAGCAUGGUCUUAGCUUGCUAAGGCCGAUGGCGACCGGCGCACGGGUGAGUAACACGUAUCCAACCUGCCGUCUACUCUUGGACAGCCUUCUGAAAGGAAGAUUAAUACAAGAUGGCAUCAUGAGUCCGCAUGUUCACAUGAUUAAAGGUAUUCCGGUAGACGAUGGGGAUGCGUUCCAUUAGAUAGUAGGCGGGGUAACGGCCCACCUAGUCUUCGAUGGAUAGGGGUUCUGAGAGGAAGGUCCCCCNCAUUGGAACUGAGACACGGUCCAAACUCCUACGGGAGGCAGCA
rnacentral:rRNA from 1 species